rnacentral:lncRNA from 1 species
AUUUUUUGCUCCCUUCUUUUGGGCACUACGACGAGGUGCUGAGGAGAAAAAUACAAAUAAAUGGCGCUGUGCGCCGUGCCAUAGUUGACAAGCGCUUUGGCGCAUACAUCAAGAUCGCAUGGUACCCGUCCAGGCAGCUCUAUCGGGUAGCUGCUGAGAGAUUGGUCACCGCUCAUCCACACCUUGCAGAUAGGGUCGGUUGCAGCCUGGAAUCAUGGGUGAUGGCCCUGAGGAACAAGUUCCAACAACACAAGAAAAAAGCUACAAAACUGUUCGGAGGA